rnacentral:lncRNA from 1 species
AUAAAGAUGACCCUUGAGUCUGCAGAACCCAAGGGAAGGUGGUAGGUUGUUAGUGCAAAUGGUAAAACCAAUGUUGGGCAUUGCUGGAGGAGCUUUACUUAAGGCGAACUGUCAAGGGGUUCCCAUUAUAGCCCAACCGUGUAAGGAACGCAAAAUCCGGGAACAUAACACCGAUAUGACGGAAACUAGGGCGGCAAGAGUGGAACAAAACACCAGGCAUAAGGCCGAGCCUUCCACCCUUUACCAAGUAUAUAGAUGCAUUAAUUAAGUAAGAUAUAUUGUGAUAUCCCAAUAAGUAAACAUGUUCCAACAAGGAACAACAUCUCCAUGUUCCAACAAGGAACAAACUUCAAUCUUCACCUGCAACUAACAAUGCUAUAAGAGGGGCUGAGCAAAGCGAUAACAUAGUCAAUCAACGGUUUGCUAGGAAUGGUGUCAAAGGUUAGAGGUUUGACAUGGCAAUUUGGGAGGCUGACAAGCAAAUGGUAGGCAUCAUAGCAUUGGCAUAGCAAAAGAGCGAGCAAACUAGCAUAGCAAACAUAGUAGUGAUUUCGAGGGUAUGAUCAUCUUGCCUGAGAUUCCGCAAGGAAGAAGAACGAAUCCAAGAAGAAGACAAACGGACGUAGACAAACGGAUCCUCACAACCGCAACGUUGUCGGAAACAACCCGAAGAAGCACACCGGAAAGAAGCAAAUAACAUAGUAAACACACAAGCAUAAACAAGUCAUGAUGCACAAACGAGUAUGAUGCAUGUUCGGUUUAAAUAUGCAUGGCAUGGGAAAGUGCACAAACAAUCCUACAAAUUAAGUGGAGCUCAAUAUGCAACGAGUUGCAUAUUGACGAAACACCACAACAAGUUAUUUAGUUCGAUCUCAUUUACGUACUCAACAAUAUUAAAUGUUGGUUAACAUGGCAAGAGGUGAAGCAUAAUAUAAACUAUACCAUCUAAACAAUUUAAAUGGGGCCGGAUAUAAAAACAACAAAUCCGGUAAAUCCCCAUAUGCAUUUAGCAAUUUAAUGCAACAACAAGUUUAAACAUUUUAAUUGUUGUUAGCAUGAUGCGGAUGACAUAUACAAGUUUUAUGCAAUUUUAUGAAAAUGUUGACAUGAGCAUGUUAUGAAGCAUUUGGUCACCAUGGCGGAACAAAAAAGGGUGCCACGGCGGCGAAACAAAAAUGGUGCCACGGCAACAUUUCAGUCCCGGUAACUCAUGGAGAUACCGGUGCAAAAGGAGGCGUGCGGAUGUGCGCAACAUGCUAGAGAUGGUGGGGUGCUCCCGACUACCGGGUUCCCACGGGUUAGUGGCAUGGAAAACGAGUGACAAUUCGAACACGGUGCAAACGGUGCAUCUCAUACAUGCAAGGGCAUCUCAUCGCGGUCGUCGUCUCGGGGUUAUACCUUGAAGCGUGCAUUCGGGGCGGAACGCGUUCGUAGUGGAAGUAGUCGUUCACGGAGCGGUCGUCGUCGGAAGUAGAGGAAGUAGUCGUUCAAGCGUCCGAUGGUAAUAGUACUCGGUCGUUUCGAAGAGGUACUUGGGGUCAUUCGAACUUGCCGAUCUCGUCAUCUCGAAGGGAUACUUGACGUUCUUAGCGAUUCCGAAGACGAGGUAGAGGUACACUUGUUGUAGGGGUACUUGUCGGAUCCACGGCGACGGUAGAGGUACAAAUGUUCUCGCGGUACUUGUCGGUCCAGUCUUGGUGUAGAUGUACAUCGCAAACGUAGUGGUACUCGCGGACUUCGGCGCCGGUAGUCGUACACGGUUCGUAGGGGUACUUGGCGUUCUUGGUGAUUCCGAAGAAGGCGGUAGAUGUACUCGGCGAAUCCACAAGGCGUGCACGGGUCGAAGUGGAACUCUUGACAAAAUCCACGGGACUGACUUGGCAUGCAACGAGCACGGCGCGAUGGGCAUGAAGGGCGGCGCUGGUUCUCUGCUCCAACGAAGCAGAACGACGGGCGAGCGGGCGGCCGACCUGGUGUCUUAGAGCAGCGUGGAAAGGCGGUGGUGAGCGACCGGAUCGGAGGCAGAGGAGGUCACGGGAAGCUGGUCCGGCGGGAUCCGGGCGAAGGAGGGCCGACCUGGGAGGCGAUGGGCCUCGGCAGACCCGAGCAGAGCCAGGAGGAGGAGGUCGCGGGCGACGAGAGGGUGCAGUAGUUGCUGUUGCUGUCGGUGGCGACGAACUUGGAGGCGGGGCGGCGUGCAGAGCUGCGUGAAGGAGAGGCGGGGCCAUGGUAGGCCUCGUUGGCGGCGGAGCUAGGCUUCACCGGAGCAGGGGGGCCUCGGGCGUCAUGGGGCGGCGCUUGGAGCUCGGGGCAGAGGAGGUGGAGAGGCGCGGGACGAGGACGAGGCAGGAGGUCGCGCGAGGUGGAGGAGGAAGGGCGAGGCCGCGGCGCUGAGGAGGUGGUGGUGCUCGCGGGCGGACGAAGCAGGGAGGCGCGAUGGAGGUUGUCGACGCGGAGAAGUAGCAGGCGAGGCGCGGCCAUGGCAGGACCCGACGGAUCCGGACGGGGCGGCGCUGGAGGGCGACGCGAGGCAGAGAGUGGAGGGAGGAAGAGACAAGGGGGACCGAGCGGGACUGCGAGCGAGAGAGGUGGGGAUCGGGCGACGGGUGCGAGCGAUGCGGCGCUGGAGGGAGGACGAGGGAGAUGGAGAUCGAGCGGAGGGGAGGCUAGGGUUAGGGUUAGAGGCGUAGCAGCUGGGCCUUGGGCCUAGGGAGACUGGGCCGGCCUGGUGGGGAGGGGAAUGGCCAGAGGCCUGGCUGGGUCUCUCCCUCACUCUAAUGAAAAAUAAAAUAGAACAGAGAAAAGAAAGAAAAGAAAGAGAGGUUUAGGGAAAGGAUUUGCGCAUGGAGACAAUUUUCCCGGACUCACAAAAAUAUGCUCGUUCCAAGAAAAAUAGAAAGGCCAUGAUUGAAAGAUUUAAAUUCAAACUCAUUUGAAUUUAAUUCAAAUGGGUUUGAAAGGAAGUGAGGGUUUGGGAAGGUCCAAAAAUGUUCGGAUUUUUGGUGGAGCUCCGGAAAAUGAUGAAAUAAAUAUUGGCAAGGUUGGAGACCAAACUUGAAGCAGAAAAGGAACGAAAUUAUUUUGUAAGUGUGUUUUGGUGAUUCCUAAAAUGGAAUAUUUUAUUAUAGCUCCCUAAAUAUCGGGAGGGUAUGUUAUAAAGAGAAGUCACCCUUCCCUCGAUUUAAAUGGAUCGAAGAUCCAUACAAUUUAUUUAGUUGAGUUUUUAAAAAUUAAAUGACAUGAUGGCAUGAUGACAUGAUGCAAUGCAAAAAUAAAAGAGCAAGCACAAAAGAAACACAUGGCAAAACUCGGAAUAGCUGGAAGUCUUCUGGAGCGUCGGUCUCGGGGCGUUACAACACUCCACCACUACAAGAGGAUCUCGUCCCGAGAUCUAGAAUGGCACCGGAGGGAAAACGGAAGAGAAUGAGAAGAGGUAAACCAAAUUGCUUCUUUGACAAACGAGUGAAACCAAGAACCUCGCGAGGUUAAACCAAUUCAAGAAAAGAAUACAACGAAGGUGAACUAGGUCGAAAACACUCCGUUAGAAAAGAGGGACAAAGAGCAUUACGAGAACUUGAAGGUUGCAAAGACAUGAAUCAAGAGUUUAAUGGACAAGAUAGAAUUCGAAACCACUCCGGUUAAAACAAGAUGAGAGGGGAAGAAUUCGGGCAGUACUCCGGUUGAACAUGGAAGGAAUAGAACAUGAACUUGAGAAGAUGGGAUGUUACUUGAUGAAAUCAACAACACACUGCCUCCGGAACUAUUGAAAGAAUGACACAAUGGGUAAGAAGGAUUUCAGACAGCUCUCCAGUUGAGAAAGGAGGGAAAACUUGAUAAGAUUAGAGAACUCGAAUGAAAACACGACACUCCAGUUAAAUGGAUAAGCAAGAAAAGAACACGAUCCUCACGAAUCGAGAUGGUGAGUGAAAAGAGCAACGUCACAAUGCCUCCGAAAGAAAUAAUAGAAGAUAUAUCAUUGGAAUAACAGAAUGGAGAAGAAAAUGCCAACUUCUGCCACAAAUGAGUUUGGAAAGCAUCCUUGCAAAGAAGAAUUGAACGGAGUUGUUGGAAAAUCAACAACGAAAAGCACAAGCUUGUAGUGGGCUUAUGGAAAACAUCUCAAAAUUAUGAGGUGACAACCGGCCACUAACGGAAACAAUUGCUUGAGAUUAACGAAGAGAUGAAAACUUCUUCCACCAAGAUGAUAAAGAGAUAACUUGGAUCAUUGGCAAGCACCACAAAUAGCAACAUUCCCAAUGGAAGGCUUUUAGGUGAAAUAUGACACAAGAUAACUCCAACAACGAGGUUGAUGGAUUUAAAAAUAACUCAUUAUUAACAACAUGUGAAUCAUGGAACAUGAACUCAAAUUAUCAAGAAUGACAUAAUACCACCUCCAAAAUAUGGUAGAAAGAAUUGCACUCCGGAUUACCAUAUGAAGAAAGCUUGAGCUCCUUAGGAAAGAAUCUCGAUGAAAACUUUGAGAAGGGAAUUAAAUCCUUGAUGAACCAUCAUGUAGAACCUCCAUGAAGAACUCCGGUAAACAAAAGGAAUGAAAAGAAAGAGAAAUUGAAAACACAAGGUGAAUCCUUGCAAUGAUUUAGAUGGAUCUCCGUGAUAAUUAGAGCUUGGAACUCCGGGAAAAAGAGAAGAUGAAACAAAUGAAACCGAGAAUUUGAAGGGCCUCCGGAAUAAAGAAUUAAUCACUUGGAUGAACAAGAAUAAGAAUUAUGUUAUGCUUAUCCUUCACCAAUUAAAUUGAUGACAAUCAACGGAUUUGGCAUACUACUUAUUCUCGUAGAAAGGAUUAAAAGAGAUAUAUCAAAACUUGAGAAGGUCUUCAACGAACCACCGGUAGGAUUGGAACAACAAAUGAAUUGAUAUGAUGAACAAGGAAGAGAGAUCUUGAAAGAACCACCGUAAGAAUUGAAAAUGAUCGAAGUAGGGGUGCAUCACCGGUAAGAAUUAGCAAAUGAACGAAGGUGCUUGAGACAAACUAGAUACAUGAGAACAAAGAGAUCAAGAACUGAUUAGAGGAUAUUCGAUUGAUGCACCGGCAAGAUAGGAGAAUGAUAACUGACAGCUGAGAAUGAAUAAACCUGAAUUGAUGGACUCUGGAUGACAAACUGAGAAGACUCUUGAAUAUCUCCUGAUGGGUGAAAAAGAUUCUCACAAUCGAAAAUAAUUAUGAGAGGAUGGCAACAAGCUAGCACCAUGAAUCUUGAAGAGAAUAGAGCAAGAUUAAAGAGAAACUCUUCUUCGGUCUUCAAAUGAUGAGAAUGACAACGAGACACACCACCAAGAAUUAUUGAGGCACACCGGAAGAAUCAAAAGCGAAGAGGUUGAGCCAACUAUGAAAAGAAUUUGAAAGAUCUUGGAGAAAAAGCAUUUGACUGAUGAUAACUCAUUCUUACGUCAAACUUGGAAAAGAAUUUGAGAUAGCUUUGGGAAAAUAGAAGAGUCAGGUAAGAUCCUGGGAAAAGACCUGUGGGUUAGGGCCCACUCAAAAGAACACCGUUGAAAAGAUUUAAAAGAGAUGUUGCACCGGUUGAAUUAAAUGACUUGAAUGAGAUACCAAUCUCGAAAGAGCUUGAACGAAUGCAGAGUGGAAACACGAAUCUUCGAGAUAUCUCGAGCACUCCGGAAUAACAAAUAGCGAGAAGUGAAUGAAUAUGAGGAGCACCGGUAUGAGAAGACAUUGAAAUGAGGAAAAAGGUAUGAUCAACAAAACUUGACUUGAAUCCACCGGAGAAGAGAAAGGAAUGAGGAAUGACGAACUAGUAGAACAUCUUCUUGAGAACCACCGGGUAAGAACAUUGACGGAAAAGAAUGGAGAAACUUCACAAAAANNNNNNNNNNAUAAUGAGGUGCACCGGUAUGAGAAGACAUUGAAAUGAGGAAAAAGGUAUGAUCAACAAAACUUGACUUGAAUCCACCGGAGAAGAGAAAGGAAUGAGGAAUGACGAACUAGUAGAACAUCUUCUUGAGAACCACCGGGUAAGAACAUUGACGGAAAAGAAUGGAGAAACUUCACAAAAAUAAAAGGAUACUUGGUAAAGAAAUCUUAGUCCUUGAGGAAAAAGGGUGGGUGGGCGGGAAAAAACAAAGGCAACUUGGAGACGGAUGAAACCAACACCGUUGAGAAGAAAUGAUAAUUGGUCUUGCUGAUGUUGAAGUGAUCGGAUCCACUUGAAGAGAAACACGCCGGUUGAAAAAAAAGGAUUGACAAGACAGACUCGAUGAUCAAGAAGGAUUAGUAUUCACAUAGGAAUAUGAGAACACCAUUUGGAAAAGGUAUGGAAUCAACAUUUGACUUCGAAGCAACUCGAAUACCAUAACUCAAAACAAAACAAAGGAUUGGCUUGCAAAAUAAGCCAGAACAAACAUAUGAUAGAGAUUUCGUCCGAAGUUUUCGUGGUGGGGCCUACACGGGCUCGAUCGUACAGCACCAUCAUGUACAAGGCAGUGCACAUGACAUACGAAGCGUCCCCGAGUCGGCAUAGCCAAGGACUCUUUAAGACACAACGAGACCACUGUAAAACCAACCGUGAAUAGGCGGACCACUAGACGUCGAACCCCAAUUUCAUAUCAUACAUCCGUCGGAAAGAUAUCCUAAGAGCUACUUGAAUUCCCACCUAUGAAACUCCCGAAAUUUUCCGGUUAUGCAAUCAGGUGUUGGGGAUACAGGGGAAGCAUAAUAUCUCACCCAAACUAGCAAACCCUACAUCCAGCUGUAUCCAUCCUUCAACACAUAACCAAGAAACCUUCGGAAAUCAUCUACCUCAACCUUCGAAAAGCAUCAGUUAUACAAUUUAUGGCAAUACUCCCGUACUCACCUCAGUACUGGGUUAUCGGGGUUAUCUCACCAACAACUGCAUAAAAGAGAUUUUCGAUGUCGGCGUACUAAACUCAGGUAUUCCAGAACUGCAACGAUAAAAUUAUGACGACAACACCUCAGAGCUCAACUCCCCGGGACACUUCCACUAAACCCCUGACAGGAGGCACCAAGACAAUGUUCUCAUCAUAAAACCAUCAGAACGAUUCCAAGAUACCCGCGUGAUCCUAAAAAAAAUUUAGUGAAAUUUGAGAAGAGAAGAGUCAAAACUCUACGUCAGGAUGCCUUACCAGAGCGAUGAGUAGACUGGGAAGUAAAAAGAAUUUCUAACUCUCUGAUAUAUAAUUCCUAAAUGACUCAAAACAUUUUUUCUAGACACAACUCGGCCGCUAAAAAUGAUCAAACAGUGGGGCUCCUAAGGUCGGGGAAGGCUCUGAUUACCAACUUGUAACACCCUCGAUGCGACUAUAUCUCCCACGUGUCGAGGCACGACUUAGAGGCAUAAUCGCAUUGAAGGCAUAUGUCGCAAGUGAGGUAAUCUUCACACAACCCAUGUAAUAUAAUAAGGAAAAGGAUACAUAGUUGGCUUACAAUCGCCACUUCACACAAUUACAUGAAUAAAGCAUUACAUCAUCCAGAUACAAUCAAGGUCCGACUACGGAACCAAAAUAAAAGAAGAACCCCAAAUGCGACAAAGGUCCCCGAUCGACCCCAACUGGGCUCCACUACUGAUCAACUAGAACGAAACAACACAAAGGGCAAGAUCUUCAUCGAGCUCCUCCUUGAGCUUGGUUGCGUCAUCUGCACGGUAACAUAGGCACCUGCAAACUGGUUUUGGAAGUAUCUGGUGAGCCACGGGGACUCAGCAAUCUCGCACCCGCGAGAUCAAGACUAUUUAAGCUUAUAGGAAGGAUGGAGUAAUGAGGUGGAGCUGCAGCAAGCGACUAGCAUAUAUGGUGGCUAACAUACGCAAAUGAGAGCGAGAAGAGAAGGCAAAGCACGGUCGAUAAAAGUAUGAUCAAGAAGUGAUCCUAUAGCAACCUACGUCAAGCAUAACUCCAACACCGUGUUCACUUCCCGGACUCCGCCGAGAAGAGACCAUCACGGUUACACACGCGGUUGAUGUAUUUUAAUUAAGGUCAACUUCGGGUUUUCUACAACCGGACAUUAACAAAUUCCCAUCUGCCCAUAACCGCGGGCACGGCUUUCGAAAGUUCAAUCCCUGCAGGGGAGUCCCAACUUAGCCCAUGACAAGCUCUCACGGUCAACGAAGGAAUAGACCUCCACCCGAGACACUCCGAUCAGACUCGGUAUCCCGGUACAACAAGACAUUUCGACAGGGUAAAACUAAACCAGCAACACCGCCCGAAUGUGCCGACAAAUCCCGAUAGGAGCUGCACAUAUCUCUUUCUUAGGGCACACUCAGAUGAGUCUAGCUACGAGUAAAACCAACCCUCAAGUUUCCCCGAGGUGGCCCCGCAGGCAGCUCAGUUCGGACCAACACUCAGAGGAGCACUGGCCCGGGGGGGUUAGAAUAAAGAUGACCCUUGAGUCUGCAGAACCCAAGGGAAGGUGGUAGGUUGUUAGUGCAAAUGGUAAAACCAAUGUUGGGCAUUGCUGGAGGAGCUUUACUUAAGGCGAACUGUCAAGGGGUUCCCAUUAUAGCCCAACCGUGUAAGGAACGCAAAAUCCGGGAACAUAAGACCGAUAUGACGGAAACUAGGGCGGCAAGAGUGGAACAAAACACCAGGCAUAAGGCCGAGCCUUCCACCCUUUACCAAGUAUAUAGAUGCAUUAAUUAAGUAAGAUAUAUUGUGAUAUCCCAACAAGUAAACAUGUUCCAACAAGGAACAACAUCUCCAUGUUCCAACAAGGAACAAACUUCAAUCUUCACCUGCAACUAACAAUGCUAUAAGAGGGGCUGAGCAAAGCGGUAACAUAGCCAAUCAACGGUUUGCUAGGAAUGGUGUCAAAGGUUAGAGGUUUGACAUGGCAAUUUGGGAGGCUGACAAGCAAAUGGUAGGCAUCGUAGCAUUGGCAUAGCAAAAGAGCGAGCAAACUAGCAUAGCAAACAUAGUAGUGAUUUCGAGGGUAUGAUCAUCUUGCCUGAGAUCCCGCAAGGAAGAAGAACGAAUCCAAGAAGAAGACAAA